CCUACGGGGGGCAGCAGUGAGGAAUAUUGGUCAAUGGGCGGGAGCCUGAACCAGCCAUGCCGCGUGAAGGCGAGUGCCCUACGGGCGUUAAACUUCUUUUGUGCGGGAGCAAUAAGGGCCACGUGUGGCCCGAUGAGAGUACCGCACGAAUAAGCAUCGGCUAACUCCGUGCCAGCAGCCGCGGUAAUACGGGGGAUGCGAGCGUUGUUCGGAAUGACUGGGCGUAAAGGGUGUGUAGGCGGUGUAGCAAGUUAGAAGUGAAAUACCUAGAGCU
rnacentral:rRNA from 1 species